rnacentral:rRNA from 2 species
UUAAGCGACUAAGCGUACACGGUGGAUGCCCUGGCAGUCAGAGGCGAUGAAGGACGUGCUAAUCUGCGAUAAGCGUCGGUGAGGUGAUAUGAACCGUUAUAACCGGCGAUUUCCGAAUGGGGAAACCCAGUGUGAUUCGACACACUAUCAUUAACUGAAUCCAUAGGUUAAUGAGGCGAACCGGGGGAACUGAAACAUCUAAGUACCCCGAGGAAAAGAAAUCAACCGAGAUUCCCCCAGUAGCGGCGAGCGAACGGGGAGGAGCCCAGAGCCUGAAUCAGUGUGUGUGUUAGUGGAAGCGUCUGGAAAGGCGCGCGAUACAGGGUGACAGCCCCGUACACAAAAAUGCACAUGCUGUGAGCUCGAUGAGUAGGGCGGGACACGUGGUAUCCUGUCUGAAUAUGGGGGGACCAUCCUCCAAGGCUAAAUACUCCUGACUGACCGAUAGUGAACCAGUACCGUGAGGGAAAGGCGAAAAGAACCCCGGCGAGGGGAGUGAAAAAGAACCUGAAACCGUGUACGUACAAGCAGUGGGAGCCUCUUAAUGGGGUGACUGCGUACCUUUUGUAUAAUGGGUCAGCGACUUAUAUUCUGUAGCAAGGUUAACCGAAUAGGGGAGCCGAAGGGAAACCGAGUCUUAACUGGGCGUUAAGUUGCAGGGUAUAGACCCGAAACCCGGUGAUCUAGCCAUGGGCAGGUUGAAGGUUGGGUAACACUAACUGGAGGACCGAACCGACUAAUGUUGAAAAAUUAGCGGAUGACUUGUGGCUGGGGGUGAAAGGCCAAUCAAACCGGGAGAUAGCUGGUUCUCCCCGAAAGCUAUUUAGGUAGCGCCUCGUGAAUUCAUCUCCGGGGGUAGAGCACUGUUUCGGCAAGGGGGUCAUCCCGACUUACCAACCCGAUGCAAACUGCGAAUACCGGAGAAUGUUAUCACGGGAGACACACGGCGGGUGCUAACGUCCGUCGUGAAGAGGGAAACAACCCAGACCGCCAGCUAAGGUCCCAAAGUCAUGGUUAAGUGGGAAACGAUGUGGGAAGGCCCAGACAGCCAGGAUGUUGGCUUAGAAGCAGCCAUCAUUUAAAGAAAGCGUAAUAGCUCACUGGUCGAGUCGGCCUGCGCGGAAGAUGUAACGGGGCUAAACCAUGCACCGAAGCUGCGGCAGCGACACUAUGUGUUGUUGGGUAGGGGAGCGUUCUGUAAGCCUGUGAAGGUGGCCUGUGAGGGUUGCUGGAGGUAUCAGAAGUGCGAAUGCUGACAUAAGUAACGAUAAAGCGGGUGAAAAGCCCGCUCGCCGGAAGACCAAGGGUUCCUGUCCAACGUUAAUCGGGGCAGGGUGAGUCGACCCCUAAGGCGAGGCCGAAAGGCGUAGUCGAUGGGAAACAGGUUAAUAUUCCUGUACUUGGUGUUACUGCGAAGGGGGGACGGAGAAGGCUAUGUUGGCCGGGCGACGGUUGUCCCGGUUUAAGCGUGUAGGCUGGUUUUCCAGGCAAAUCCGGAAAACCAAGGCUGAGGCGUGAUGACGAGGCACUACGGUGCUGAAGUGACAAAUGCCCUGCUUCCAGGAAAAGCCUCUAAGCAUCAGGUAACAUCAAAUCGUACCCCAAACCGACACAGGUGGUCAGGUAGAGAAUACCAAGGCGCUUGAGAGAACUCGGGUGAAGGAACUAGGCAAAAUGGUGCCGUAACUUCGGGAGAAGGCACGCUGAUAUGUAGGUGAAGCGACUUGCUCGUGGAGCUGAAAUCAGUCGAAGAUACCAGCUGGCUGCAACUGUUUAUUAAAAACACAGCACUGUGCAAACACGAAAGUGGACGUAUACGGUGUGACGCCUGCCCGGUGCCGGAAGGUUAAUUGAUGGGGUUAGCGGUAACGCGAAGCUCUUGAUCGAAGCCCCGGUAAACGGCGGCCGUAACUAUAACGGUCCUAAGGUAGCGAAAUUCCUUGUCGGGUAAGUUCCGACCUGCACGAAUGGCGUAAUGAUGGCCAGGCUGUCUCCACCCGAGACUCAGUGAAAUUGAACUCGCUGUGAAGAUGCAGUGUACCCGCGGCAAGACGGAAAGACCCCGUGAACCUUUACUAUAGCUUGACACUGAACAUUGAGCCUUGAUGUGUAGGAUAGGUGGGAGGCUUUGAAGUGUGGACGCCAGUCUGCAUGGAGCCGACCUUGAAAUACCACCCUUUAAUGUUUGAUGUUCUAACGUUGGCCCCUAAUCGGGGUUGCGGACAGUGUCUGGUGGGUAGUUUGACUGGGGCGGUCUCCUCCUAAAGAGUAACGGAGGAGCACGAAGGUUGGCUAAUCCUGGUCGGACAUCAGGAGGUUAGUGCAAUGGCAUAAGCCAGCUUGACUGCGAGCGUGACGGCGCGAGCAGGUGCGAAAGCAGGUCAUAGUGAUCCGGUGGUUCUGAAUGGAAGGGCCAUCGCUCAACGGAUAAAAGGUACUCCGGGGAUAACAGGCUGAUACCGCCCAAGAGUUCAUAUCGACGGCGGUGUUUGGCACCUCGAUGUCGGCUCAUCACAUCCUGGGGCUGAAGUAGGUCCCAAGGGUAUGGCUGUUCGCCAUUUAAAGUGGUACGCGAGCUGGGUUUAGAACGUCGUGAGACAGUUCGGUCCCUAUCUGCCGUGGGCGCUGGAGAACUGAGGGGGGCUGCUCCUAGUACGAGAGGACCGGAGUGGACGCAUCACUGGUGUUCGGGUUGUCAUGCCAAUGGCACUGCCCGGUAGCUAAAUGCGGAAGAGAUAAGUGCUGAAAGCAUCUAAGCACGAAACUUGCCCCGAGAUGAGUUCUCCCUGAGACUUAGAGUCUCCUGAAGGAACGUUGAAGACGACGACGUUGAUAGGCCGGGUGUGUAAGCGCAGCGAUGCGUUGAGCUAACCGGUACUAAUGAACCGUGAGGCUUAACCUU